rnacentral:tRNA from 1 species
CCUCCUUACCAAAAGUCGACGUGACACACUUGAUGCAGUGCCUACACAGAUAGUCUUGUUAUAGAAAGAAGAACGACCAAUUAUGGGGCUAUAGCUCAGCUGGGAGAGCGCCUGAUUUGCAUUCAGGAGGUCAGCAGUUCGAUCCUGCUUAGCUCCACCAUCUUUGCUCGAUAAAGAAAUAGCUGAAUCGAGACAAAGAGCCCAGCAAGCUGAUAAAAGUCAGAUUGCAAGCAGUUGAGUGUUAGGCAAGGCGACUGAGAAGCGAUUGAAGGAGCAUACUUCAGUAUGUGACUGAAAGAGCGCCGAACCAAAGCCGCAGCAUAACGCUUAAAUGCGCAGUAAGCUGGAGGCUUGUAGCUCAGCUGGUUAGAGCGCACCCCUGAUAAGGGUGAGGUCGGCAGUUCAAGUCUGCCCAAGCCUACCAAUUCUACUUGGGCUUCGUUUAUUUUGGAGAGCUGCGAUGCUCANGUGCUACUCGCAAAUUGCGCUUCUCGCUCACCAAACUAACCCCCACCCAAACCGAAAUUGGCCUGAUGUUUUCGAAUAAAAAAACACC